GCUGACGGGGACAGGGAUCGCGAAUUAGCUUCGAAUUUCAGGGCCAGUAGAGCUCUACUCCCAGCCUAAUUUUGGAGGAUUUGCGUCCAUUGUCCUGCGCUGAAAUCCCCCAGUCUUGCCUGCAGCUACACUUCCCUGGCUGCUUUUGUCUGCAGCAGGAGGGUUGGAAACAUCUCCUGCAGAACUGUCAGUCCCAGGCCGGCUUUUUGCAGCGUUUCUAGGUGUGCUAGUGCAGUGUAUCCAGUAGUGUUGUACUUGUGAUCCUUACAGCUGGGCAGACCCAAACCUGUUCAUCCAGGUGCAUCCAACCGACAUCUUCAGACAAAAGAAUCUCUCCUCUAACUCAACUCA